UACGGGGGGGUGCGAGCGUUGUCCGGAAUCACUGGGCGUAAAGGGCGCGUAGGUGGCUUUGUAAGUUUGCGGUGAAAGCCCGGGGCUCAACCCCGGGUCUGCCGUGGAUACUGCAAGGCUUGAGUACUGUAGAGGCAGGUAGAAUAUCGGGUGUAGCGGUGGAAUGCGUAGAGAUCCGAUAGAAGACCGGUGGCGAAGGCGGCCUGCUGGGCAGUAACUGACACUGGAGGCGCGACAGCGUGGGGAGCAAACAGG
rnacentral:rRNA from 1 species